AGUGAACGCUGGCGGUAGGCCUAACACAUGCAAGUCGAACGGCAGCACAGUAAGAGCUUGCUCUUACGGGUGGCGAGUGGCGGACGGGUGAGGAAUACAUCUGAAUCUACUUUUUCGUGGGGGAUAACGUAGGGAAACUUACGCUAAUACCGCAAACGACCUACGGGUGAAAGCAGGGGAUCUUCGGACCUUGCGCGAUUGAAUGAGCCGAUGUCGGAUUAGCUAGUUGGCGGGGUAAAGGCCCACCAAGGCGACGAUCCGUAGCUGGUCUGAGAGGAUGAUCAGCCACACUGGAACUAAGACACGGUCCAGACUCCUACGGGAGGCAGCAGUGGGGAAUAUUGGACAAUGGGCGCAAGCCUGAUCCAGCCAUACCGCGUGGGUGAAGAAGGCCUUCGGGUUGUAAAGCCCUUUUGUUGGGAAAGAAAAGCAGCAGGUUAAUACCCCGCUGUUCUGACGGUACCCAAAGAAUAAGCACCGGCUAACUUCGUG
rnacentral:rRNA from 1 species